rnacentral:rRNA from 1 species
GAUGAACGCUGGCGGCGUGCCUAAUACAUGCAAGUCGAGCGAACAGACGGGGAGCUUGCUCCUCUGACGUUAGCGGCGGACGGGUGAGUAACACGUGGAUAACCUACCUAUAAGACUGGGAUAACUUCGGGAAACCGGAGCUAAUACCGGAUAAUAUAUUGAAUCGCAUGGUUCAAUAGUGAAAGACGGUUUUGCUGUCACUUAUAGAUGGAUCCGGGCGUCAUUAGUUGGUUGGUAAGGUAACGGCUUACCAAGGGAACGAUGCGUAGCCGACGUGAUGGGGUGAUCGGCCACACGGGAACUGAGACACGGUCCAGACUCCUACGGGAGGAAGCAGUAGGGAAUCUUCCGCAAUGGGGGAAAGCCUGACGGAGCAACCCGGCGUGAGUGAUGAAGGUCUUCGGAUCGUAAAACUCUGUUAUUGGGGAAGAACAAAUGUGUAAGUAACUAUGCACGUCUUGACGGUACCUAAUCAGAAAGCCACGGCUAACUACGUG